rnacentral:rRNA from 1 species
UCGCCUGUUUAUCAAAAACAUGUCUUCUUGAUAAUAAUUUGAAGUCUGACCUGCCCACUGAACUUUUAUGUUUAAAGGGCCGCGGUAUUUUGACCGUGCAAAGGUAGCAUAAUCAUUAGUCUUUUAAUUGGAGGCUAGAAUGAAUGGUUGGACGAGGCACUGACUGUCUCAGUGUAAAUGAGAGUAGAAUUUAACUUUUAAGUCAAAAGGCUUAAAUAAUUUUAAAGGACGAGAAGACCCUAUAGAGCUUUAUAUUAUUCGGUAUAUUAUUUAUUUAGACGAUUUUUUAUAAUAUAUAGAUUAGUAUUUUGUUGGGGUGACAGGAAGAUAUACAAAACUCUUUUUAGUUUAAAAACAUUGAUUUAUGAAUUGUUGAUCCAUUUUUAGUGAUUAUAAGACUAAGUUACCUUAGGGAUAACAGCGUAAUCUUUUUCGAGAGUUCUUAUCGACAAAAAGGGUUGCGACCUCGAUGUUGGAUUAAGGGUAAUUUUGGGUGUAGAUGUUCAAAGUUUAGGUCUGUUCGACCUUUAAAUCCUUACAUGAUCUGAGUUCAAACCGGAGA